GAAACGCGAUAAGUAGUGUGAAUUGCAGAAUUCAGUGAAUCAUCGAAUCUUUGAACGCACAUUGCGCCCUCCGGUAUUCCGGGGGGCAUGCCUGUCCGAGCGUCAUUGCAACCCCUCAAGCACGGCUUGUGUUAUGGGCGGCCGUCCCCGUCGGGACGGGCCCGAAAGGCAGUGGCGGCUCCGAUCCGGUGCCCGAGCGUAUGGGGCUUUGUCACCCGCUCCGUUGGCCUGGGUCGGCGUCAGCCGACAUGAUCAAUCAUUUUCCAAGGUUGACCUCGGAUCAGACAGGGAUACCCGCUGAACUUAA
rnacentral:misc_RNA from 1 species